AAGUCGUAACAAGGUUUCCGUAGGUGAACCUGCGGAAGGAUCAUCAUUGAACCUCUAAAUAUCAACAAACACCUGUGUGAACCGUCGGGGGCUGGGGGGUGAUGCGCAAGCGUCCCGCCCGCCUUCAUUUUUUCCCGCAUCUUUUUGCGGGGAAAAACGAAAACCCCAACACUUCUCUUGAUCUUUUGACAGAUUCCAAAUGUUAUCGCAAGAUAACGCUUGAAAAAUUAAAAGACAACUUUUAACAACGGAUCUCUUGGCUCUC
rnacentral:misc_RNA from 1 species